GACGUAGGGCGCGAGCGUUGUCCGGAUUUAUUGGGCGUAAAGAGCUCGUAGGCGGCUUGUCGCGUCGACCGUGAAAACUCACAGCUCAACUGUGAGCUUGCGGUCGAUACGGGGCAGGCUCGAGUUCGGUAGGGGGAGACUGGAAUUCCUGGUGUAGCGGUGAAAUGCGCAGAUAUCAGGAGGAACACCGGUGGGCGAAAGGCGGGGUCUCUG
rnacentral:rRNA from 1 species